rnacentral:sRNA from 1 species
UAAAAUCCGCGUUAGGGAUUGCAGCGGCAUCCUUUUUUAGGGGGCGCAGGCGGCUAAAAAAGAUACAGCGGAAAGAGCGACCCGAU